UGGCGGACGGGUGAGUAAUGUCUGGGAAACUGCCUGAUGGAGGGGGAUAACUACUGGAAACGGUAGCUAAUACCGCAUAACGUCGCAAGACCAAAGAGGGGACCUUCGGGCCUCUUGCCAUCGGAUGUGCCCAGAUGGGAUUAGCUAGUAGGUGGGGUAAAGGCUCACCUAGGCGACGAUCCCUAGCUGGUCUGAGAGGAUGACCAGCCACACUGGAACUGAGACACGGUCCAG
rnacentral:rRNA from 1 species